rnacentral:rRNA from 1 species
ACUCAAAUGAAUUGACGGGGGCCCGCACAAGCAGCGGAGCGUGUGGUUUAAUUCGAUGCAACACGAAGAACCUUACCAGGGCUUGACAUGCGCGUGGUAGGGAGGUGAAAGCCGAUCGACCCCUUCGGGGGAGCGCGCACAGGUGCUGCAUGGCUGUCGUCAGCUCGUGCCGUGAGGUGUUGGGUUAAGUCCCGCAACGAGCGCAACCCUCGUUGCCAGUUGUACUUUUCUGGCGAGACUGCCGGUAUCAAACCGGAGGAAGGUGGGGACGAGGUCAAGUCAGCAUGGCCUUUAUGUCCUGGGCUACUCACACGCUACAAUGGUCGGUACAAUGGGUUGCCAAGCCGCGAGGCGGAGCCAAUCCUCAAAGCCGACCCCAGUUCAGAUUGCAGUCUGCAACUCGACUGCAUGAAGUUGGAGUUGCUAGUAACCGCAGGUCAGCUAUACUGCGGUGAAUACGUUCCCGGGCCUUGUACACACCGCCCGU